rnacentral:rRNA from 1 species
GACGAACGCUGGCGGCGUGCCUAAUACAUGCAAGUAGAACGCACAGUUUAUACCGUAGCUUGCUACACCAUAGACUGUGAGUUGCGAACGGGUGAGUAACGCGUAGGUAACCUGCCUGGUAGCGGGGGAUAACUAUUGGAAACGAUAGCUAAUACCGCAUAAUAUUGAUUAUUGCAUGAUAAUUGAUUGAAAGAUGCUAUUGCAUCACUACCAGAUGGACCUGCGUUGUAUUAGCUAGUAGGUGAGGUAACGGCUCACCUAGGCGACGAUACAUAGCCGACCUGAGAGGGGGAUCGGCCACACUGGGACUGAGACACGGCCCAGACUCCUACGGGAGGCAGCAGUAGGGAAGCUUCGGCAAUGGACGAAAGUCUGACCGAGCAACGCCGCGUGAGUGAAGAAGGUUUUCGGAUCGUAAAGCUCGGUUGUAAGAGAAGAACGGGUGUGAGAGUGGAAAGUUCACACUGUGACGGUAUCUUACCAGAAAGGGACGGCUAACUACGUG